rnacentral:rRNA from 1 species
UACGUAGGGGGCAAGCGUUGUCCGGAUUUAUUGGGCGUAAAGAGCGUGUAGGCGGCCGUACAGGUCAGCUGUGAAAACUCGAGGCUCAACCUCGAGACGUCGGCUGAAACCGUACGGCUAGAGUCCGGAAGAGGAGAGUGGAAUUCCCGGUGUAGCGGUGAAAUGCGCAGAUAUCGGGAAGAACACCCGUGGCGAAGGCGGCUCUCUGGGACGGUACUGACGCUGAGGCACGAAAGCGUGGGGAGCAAACAGG